UACGUAGGGGGCAAGCGUUGUCCGGAAUCAUUGGGCGUAAAGAGCGUGUAGGCGGCCUGGUAAGUCCGCUGUGAAAGUCCAGGGCUCAACCCUGGAAUGCCGGUGGAAACUGUCAGGCUCGAGUCCGGAAGAGGCGAGUGGAACUCCUGGUGUAGCGGUGAAAUGCGCAGAUAUCAGGAGGAACACCAAUGGCGAAGGCAGCUCGCUGGGACGGUACUGACGCUGAGACGCGAAAGCGUGGGGAGCAAACAGG
rnacentral:rRNA from 1 species